rnacentral:ncRNA from 2 species
UUUGUAUUGGGGAAGCUGGAUACCCUGUAAAAGGGGUUUAAUAGGGAAUCACGUUCAAAUCGUGAGCUGACGCGCAACUGUAAGUCCCAGGAUAUUUCUGCAGCAUUGUGCCACUGUGCCGUUAUACCGGCGCGGGAAGGCGCUGCAGAAGGGAUGAAGCCAGGAGACCUGUCCUGUUUUCUUUGUUUUC